GCCUUUCCCGGAGAAAGGUCACGCAGCCUUUACGCCCGUGCCCGUUGUGUGGUCGUGCCCUAUAAAGCACAUACGGCCACACUUCGCCAAUUCCCACCGGGAUCUGUCAGCCAGGAAGCUCAGGCGAACUGUCCGGCGGUUCCAGUGGGAUAUAACCAUGGAAAGGCUGCGUGACCUUGAGGCCAGCCACCCGGUGGUCCCCAUGGUGACCCUGUUGGAACCCUAUGGUAGGUGUCAAUCACAGACUUCUGUCUGAACUUUACUCCUUUGUUUUACCAGACACAGCAAGUUAAGCUAAUCGUUUAUGUAUGUUUUUUGGUGAUGUUUCAGAAGACUCUGACGAAGAACAAAUUCCUUCAGCCCCUUCGUCCUCCAUCACGUCUGCGCGCUCCUUCACGCCUGCACCCCCCAUCACCCCUUCACACCCCGUCACCCCUUCACAUCCCAUCACCACCCCCCCUUCAAGCCCAGGCGCACGUGCAGCCGUGGAGGAGAUCGCAGAGGGGCUGAAGGAAUUUGUCCAGUGCAUGGGUGAGUCUGACGUCACCGGCUUUGCUCUCGGCUCGUUAACGUCACUAAACGUUGUAUAGUAGGUAUAUAGCUGAUUUAACGCGUCGGCACCGGACUGUGUGUCGGUGGUGAGGUAAAAGGGGCGCGGACAGUGGACCAAACCAUUGUGAGGCAAGGGAGGUGUUAUAACCUUUCUAAAGUUAUAUGUUUCGAAUUGAAUCACACGGACACCAGCUUGAACUUAUCUUUCCACUUUACUUUCCCAGACUUACGUCAUGACGUCGAUGACGUCACUUCAAUACACAACAUCCCCCCUUUACUUGAAUAUGAACUUACCCCACUUAAGUUCUCAUUCAUAUUUACAUUCUAUCAACUUAAACUUCAAACAGUUCAGCAUAUUCAAAACACAUGCAACAUUAUGCCGCUUUUACAACUGAAUAAAACAUCAGUGUUUUCCUUUUUUUUUUAAA